UGAGGCCGGUGAUGAUUUAAACAUUCUGUAUUGCCUACAUUGCUUGAUUAUCUGGCUCACCCAGAUAGUGAUAAAUGAAAAUAUAAUCUGAGGCCUCG